rnacentral:rRNA from 1 species
AGGUCACCGACUUCGGGUGCUUCCAACUCCCAUGGUGUGACGGGCGGUGUGUACAAGGCCCGGGAACGUAUUCACCGCGACAUUCUGAUUCGCGAUUACUAGCGAUUCCAGCUUCAUGUAGUCGAGUUGCAGACUACAAUCCGAACUGGGACUGGGUUUUUGUGAUUUGCUCGACGUCGCCGUUUUGCAUCACUUUGUUACCAGCCAUUGUAGCACGUGUGUAGCCCAAGACAUAAGGGGCAUGAUGAUUUGGACGUCAUCCCCACCUUCCUCCCGUGUUAUCCACGGGCAGUCUCUAAGAGUGCCCCAACUGAAUGAUGGCUACUAAGAAUAGGGGGGGUUGCGNCCUCGUUGCGGGGGACUUAAACCCCAACAUUCUUCACGACACGGAGCUGGACGACAAACCAUGCACCCACCCUGGUCAACCUUU